CUGUGAUCACGGCAUAGUUCAGAGGUAGGUAACCUUGGGCAGUCCAGAUGCUGUGAAUUACAUCUCCCAUAAUGCUGGCAAACCAUUAUGGGAGGUGUAGUCCAAAACAUCUAGAAUACCGAAGGCGUAUGAAUGAAAAGUAUGGUGUGUGUGUGAAUGGUCAGUAACAAGGGUUGAAGCCUUGACGUGGCGUUACUACUCACAUGUGUAUUCAUGUGCCAAUUCAA